rnacentral:rRNA from 1 species
UAUGGCCAUACCACCCUAAACAUGCCCAAUCUCAUCUGAUCUUAGAAGCUAAGCAGGGUUGAGCCUGGUUAGCACUUGGAUGGGAGAAGUUCAAGGAAGGCCAUCC